CAGAGAACAUCGCCCUCACGGGUGACUCUCCAACCCUAUGUUAUUAAACCUUUGUUGCUUUGGCGAGCCGCUUCGGCCACCGGCUUCUGCUGGUGUGCGCUCGCCAGAGGACCCCAAACUCUGAAUGUUAGUGUCGUCUGAGUACUAUACAAUAGUUA
rnacentral:misc_RNA from 1 species